UAUAUUAAAAAACUAUUACGUCGUAUAAUUUCGGGAAUAAGGCCCGAGCGUUUCUACCAAGCUACCGUAAAUGGCUUGACUACGAGGUGAUUGAUGGGUGCC
rfam:Bacillus marisflavi strain JCM 11544 scaffold6, whole genome shotgun sequence.